UACAGAGGUCCCGAGCGUUUGUUCGGAAUUACUGGGCGUAAAGGGCUCGUAGGCGGCCAACUAAGUCAGACGUGAAAUCCCUCGGCUUAACCGGGGAACUGCGUCUGAUACUGGAUGGCUUGAGGUUGGGAGAGGGAUGCGGAAUUCCAGGUGUAGCGGUGAAAUGCGUAGAUAUCUGGAGGAACACCGGUGGCGAAGGCGGCAUCCUGGACCAAUUCUGACGCUGAGGAGCGAAAGCCAGGGGAGCAAACGGG
rnacentral:rRNA from 1 species